CUGCACAUUUCAUUGACCUGCUUUCUUUUGUAUAUGUGAGUUGUGUUAUUUCUUAUGUGCUAUACAAAUAUUUGAAGGUUUAUUAGUAUCACUAUAUAGUAAUGCUGCCAGUCUCCUUCAGACAAAA